ACUUGGAUAUGGAUUCUUCACGGUAACGUAACUGAAUGUGGAGACGUCGGCGUGAGCCCUGGGAGGAGUUCUCUNUUCUUCUUAACAGCUUAUCACCCUGGAAUUGGUUUAUCCGGAGAUAGGGUNUUAUGGCUGGAAGAGUGCAAUACUUUUGUUGCAUCCGGUGCGCUUACGACGGUCCUUGAAAAUCCACAGGAAGGAAUAGUUUUCAUGCCAAGUCGUACU
rnacentral:rRNA from 1 species